UGAGUACUUCUCCAUCUAUGGUCCGUGGAGCAGCAGCAGUUGAAGCUGCCAGCAUGAUCUAAACUUCCUUUGAAAGGAAAAAGAGGAAGAAGGAAGAUCUGAGAUCAUAUGACAGUUUCACCUGUUGAUGUCCUUCACGAUCGAUCGAUCGACACCACUCA
rnacentral:pre_miRNA from 1 species